CAUCCAAAAGCGUCUGAAGAAGGAGAAGAAGGCCAAGAGGAAGCUGCAGGAGGCGCUGGAGUUUGAGUCGAAGAGGAGGGAGAGGGUGGAGGACGCUCUGAAACACUCGUCCUCGUCCUCUCCAUCUCCUGAGCCGCUGCACGCCGCCAACAACAACAAGAACGACGCUGCUGUAGCCGAGGAUAAACCUGAACUUAAUGGAAACCAGCAAGACAACGGCGCUGUACAAGACUCCCGGUCGUUUCUGAAGACCCCCAUGAUGUUCUAGGAAGAAGGACUCCGCCUCUAGAAACCCCGCCCUUUCCCUCGUCUCCCCUCCUGCACAGAAAAACGCCACCAGCCCGUUUCAGCAACCGCGGCGUCCACGGCGGCCUGGAUUCAUCGUGGCAACGACCUCCCCCGGCGGGAAUCUAAUCUUUGCUACACGCAAACUUUUUGAUGUUGCUAUGAAACAAUAAGACUACUACAGAGGACGCACGCCCUGAUUUGGACUCACUGGGGCCGUCUUCCCUCUCUCUCUCUCUCUACUUCCUUCUUCUCUUUCUUCUUUUUAGACAAACUUCACUCCAUUCAUUCCUCUUUUUCUCUCCCUGCACCAGGACUUCUCUGAUCCCUCGUUUGUUUCGUAAAACUGAAAAUCCUUCCCGAGGAAAACCACGAAGCAAACGGACCAAACAACAACUUCUCACGAAUUGACGUCACGAGGGGGAAAUAACACUGCGGAUCAUUUAUGAUUUAUGAAAAUUCUGAUUGGCGCCGACAAGACAACAAUGGGCUUAUAAAAAGACUAAAAAAAAAGACUCAAACUCCCUCUGGAUUGGACGCAACUUCAGUCAAGCUCAUCGGCUGGCUGUCGAUCGCUCUGAUUGGACGGUAAUCAGCUAAUCGGAGGUGCUCAGGACUGGAGGAGGAUGAGGGGAUUAGAAAAAAAGAAGUGUAUAAAAAUAUUGGGAAA